rnacentral:rRNA from 1 species
GAUGAACGCUGGCGGCGUGCCUAAUACAUGCAAGUCGAGCGAACAGACGAGGAGCUUGCUCCUCUGACGUUAGCGGCGGACGGGAGUAACACGUGGAUAACCAACCUAUAAGACUGGGAUAACUUCGGGAAACCGGAGCUAAUACCGGAUAAUAUAUUGAACCGCAUGGUUCAAUAGUGAAAGACGGUUUUGCUGUCACUUAUAGAUGGAUCCGCGCCGCAUUAGCUAGUUGGUAAGGUAACGGCUUACCAAGGCGACGAUGCGUAGCCGACCUGAGAGGGUGAUCGGCCACACUGGAACUGAGACACGGUCCAGACUCCUACGGGAGGCAGCAGUAGGGAAUCUUCCGCAAUGGGCGAAAGCCUGACGGAGCAACGCCGCGUGAGUGAUGAAGGUCUUCGGAUCGUAAAACUCUGUUAUUAGGGAAGAACAAAUGUGUAAGUAACUAUGCACGUCUUGACGGUACCUAAUCAGAAAGCCACGGCUAACUACGUG